rnacentral:rRNA from 1 species
GAUGAACGCUGGCGGCGUGCUUAACACAUGCAAGUCGAACGAUGAAGCCCAGCUUGCUGGGUGGAUUAGUGGCGAACGGGUGAGUAACACGUGAGUAACCUGCCCUUAACUCUGGGAUAAGCCUGGGAAACUGGGUCUAAUACCGGAUAGGAGCGCCUACCGCAUGGUGGGUGUUGGAAAGAUUUAUCGGUUUUGGAUGGACUCGCGGCCUAUCCGCUUGUUGGUGAGGUAAUGGCUCACCAAGGCGACGACGGGUAGCCGGCCUGAGAGGGUGACCGGCCACACUGGGACUGAGACACGGCCCAGACUCCUACGGGAGGCAGCAGUGGGGAAUAUUACACAAUGGGCGAAAGCCUGAUGCAGCGACGCCGCGUGAGGGAUGACGGCCUUCAGGUUGUAAACCUCUUUCAGUAGGGAAGAAGCGAAAGUGACGGUACCUGCAGAAGAAGCACCGGCUAACUACGUG